GGGUCAGUAGGUUGGUCGUGCCACCGGUACGUACUGGUCUCACUGAUUCCUCCUUCCUGAAGAACCGUAAUGCCAUUAAUUUUGUGUUGCGGGGAAACAGGACUGUUACUUUGAAAAAAUUAGAGUGUUUAAAGCAAGCUAACGCUUGAAUACAUUAGCAUGGAAUAAUGAAAUAGGACGAUCGAUCCUAUUUUGUUGGUUUCUAGGAUUGACGUA
rnacentral:rRNA from 1 species